AAGCCUAUAAAGUAGGCGCCAGGGGCACGUGACUCUCUCUCGUCUUUCCCAUCUUCUGUUGCAGCCGCCAUCAUGGACACAGGCCGCGUGCAACCCAUCAAGCUGGCUCGGGUCACCAAGGUGCUGGGCAGGACCGGUUCUCAGGGCCAGUGCACCCAGGUGCGCGUGGAGUUCAUGGACGACACGAGCCGCUCCAUCAUCCGCAACGUGAAGGGCCCCGUGCGGGAGGGGGACGUGCUCACCCUGCUGGAGUCGGAGCGUGAGGCCCGGAGGCUGCGGUGAGACCGACCGCCUCAACUCAGUUCUGUCAUGCUACAGUGGAGGAAACUGAGCCCCAGAAAGAGGUGGAGGCCCCUAGGCUGCUGGUCGUGGAAGGACUGCUAAGGGAUGUGUAAAAUAAAGAGUUUUGUCUAA